UACGGACUGCAAUAAUUCUAAUCAUAAAAAGAAUAGGGGCAGAAGAAAAAGCGGUAGUAAACCUGAAAGAUUACUGGCUCCUUUCAGCAAUCUGCUGAAGAACCAGCAUGGUUGUAACAUUUAUUAAAAAAAUACCCUGUCCCUUGGUUCCUUCUCCAGUGUGAAAGAGGAAGAGUGUUACUUAUGCUGCAUUUCAUGUAACAAUGGAUUGGGAGUUUAAUGUUGCUGUUGAGAUCAGCUCGUGUAUCAGUUCAGCAAUUCCCAAGGCAUUUUUAUUAUAACUGGAUACACUGGCACCUUCAGACAUCCUGAAACAAAAUUGCAGAGCAAAAGCCAACAGUAAAACAUUUAUGAAUUUAAUUUCCUAUAUUCCACAGCCUAGAAAAUCUCCCUCAAAGCCAGAGAGGUUGAA